rfam:Salmo salar isolate Sally breed double haploid chromosome ssa10, whole genome shotgun sequence.
UGAAUGCACUAACUGUAAGUCGCUCUGGAUAAGAGUGUCUGCUAAAUGACUGAAA